rnacentral:lncRNA from 1 species
GGUCGAGCGGGUUCUGCACCCGAUCCCAAGUCUAUAGCAGCCGCGACAGUGGGUGAACUAGUGCCUGAAGAAGUCCCUCCCACAGGCACCUCCUCCGAGGGGUACUCGUCGUCCGAAGGCGACGGUGGUGGUGGCACUCCCAGUCCAGGUCCGCAGUGUACACCCGGUGGCAAGUUGAAGCUGAUAGUGUAGUGCCUCCAGACUCCGUGCGUCAGGCUUGGCAUCCGGUCAAUGCGAUCCUCCAUUAUUCGCCCUGAAUAGAUAGCUCGGUGGCCGGCGGGGUCGACCACCCAUGAGCCCGGGGUGUCUUGGUCCAACAUCUCAAACCUGGUCCCCCCCGAAGGGACGACCGUCUCGUACCAGUCCGCCAUACUCAACUGACAAUGGCGUAGUCCGCCCAAACACACACAGAAGACGCGAGGGUCAACUCCAAAGAAUUAUAUAAAUAAUAAAACCAGAUAUAUAGGGUAAUAAUUAUUUAGCCUCUCAGGCUUAUACGUUUAGGGAUAACAUCCUAGGGUUGCAUAUAUCACAAUGAAUAUAAAGAUCAUAAUAACAAUUAGCAUGCCUCAAGUAGGAUAAACAGGUACCAAUCACACUCAGCAACUAAGUCAGCAUGUAUGUUGCAUGAAAUGCAAUGCUGGGUAACAAAAUGCAUUCCGGAAGAAGGAUGGACACCAUCGAGUCAGCCCUAACACCGGCCAAAGUGGGACCAUUCCGCUCGGGCGCCUCUUACACCACACAAAAGUAGUCAGAUCAGCAGUGAACCCGUAGGUCUGCCAUUCCGUCUGCUACUAAGGACCACCGUAGUGUCCUAAAUAUGGAAAUCCGGGUCUUAUGACCAUUUUGGAAUCCACCGAGGUCCGGUAAUCCGCCGUGUAUUAACCUCAAAAUGAGUGCAUGAAUGCAAGUGAUUAGCCAAACAACGUCUCCGACCUCACUCGACACGUCGUCACGUGUUCUAGCUAACUUAUUGUCUCUAAAAAGCCUACCCUAAGGCAAAUGUCGAUUCUGCGACAAAAUGAAUUAAUCAAAAGAAGAAGAAUGUACUUGGGAACUCAUGGUUCCCGGCUAAACUUUAGAUAGCCAAUCAAUAAACUGCUCAUCGAGCGAAAGGGUACCGAAGUACUUGGAAACUUAUAGUCUCCGGCUAAACUUUAGAUAGCCAAACAUUAAACUGCUCAUCGAGCGAAAGAGUAUAAGCAUACUCGGAAACUUGUAAGUUUCCUCAAGACUUGGACUCGACGACACUUCUCAUUUUUCAAAACUAAUAUUCGAGCCCUAAACUUUCGUCUGAGUCUUUUAUCAUUAUAUUAAGGGUUUUGAGUUUGUUUAAUACAUUAUGGAGGUUCAUUAUGAAAUUGUUUAAGUUUCGUCUCUAAUCCUAUUAGUUUCAAAGAUCCCAUAAUUCCAAUGAUUCCCUGGAGAUGGUCUCAAAACAAAAGGUCCAUCAUCACCCAAGUAAUGGCCCGAGAAGUUCCCAGGUAAGCUGGCCGGGCACAAUGCCACAUUAAAAGCCCUUCUUGCCUUAGACAGAACAACCCAAGUUCUUACGUGAAUUCAAAUGGGGUUUUUCCAAUAUCAUUUUCAAACUCAUUUUCCUUUGAGAAGGUCUUGAUCCAUAAAGCAAUAAUAGGGUACGAACCUUGGUCCGUCCCAUCAAACUUUCCCAAAAUCUCCAAAGUAAAAUCGGCAUGACGUGCCCGUUAUCCUCACUCUGAAGCAUAACAGAUAUAAGUGGAGUAACAUAAAUAAAUCAGCUCAAUCAAUAAACAUAAACAGCAUAUUCCAACACAUCCUAGAUUAACCAUUUAGCACAUAACAUGUGAAUCAUUUAGCACACAAUAUCAUGGCAUCCAGUACUCUACAAGAUCGGCCGAAGCCUCAGAAAUCAUUUCAGGCAAUUAGCAAUUAAGUGCAUAACACAUAAAUCAAGUCGAAUUCGUCGACACCUAAAGCAUUAUCUAGUAAUUCAGAGAGUAGCCCUCACCUGUUGGUUUUCCAGCUCGUUCCUUGGACUUUCCUUCACAAUCUUCCUCCUCAAGUCCUCCGAAUUCCUCAAACGAACCUUAAAGCAAUUUCACAGAAAUCAAUCACAAUGAGUCAGAAACUUAGCAAACAAUAAGUCCUAGGUCACACGGAACACUACAACUCCGUGGUACGACAAUCUAACGCGUUAGGACAAGUUUUUGAAAAAGUCGGAUUUCCUCCCCCCUUAAUUGUGUGGGUCGAUUUUUCUUCGAUCAAACUUGGUUCCUAGGUUAUCAUAAGUCGUAACUAAGGCGGAUCUAAGCUCGGAAAAAUUUUCGGAUCGAAAACUGACAUAGGGGUAGUUUGGUCAUUAUUUUAAACUCAGAAUUUCAAAACUGGAUUUUUGAAAAACAAAUUGGAUGGAGAUGUCAACAACGACGUUUAUGACAACUAAUCCUACUAGCACUAAGCCAAGUCGAGAGUUCUAAGCUAAAAGGUUGCGACUUUCUUAAAAAUGGGUAUUCGAAGCAAGAAUUGAUUCCGGCGGAAUUUCGGCGACAUCUGACAAAAUCUAAUCCGCAGAACACGCUCAGGAGCAUGCAGGGAAGAUGUUUAGACAGAGAAAUCAAGCUAUUUGGACAAUUUUCCAAAAACCUCAAAACUUUGGACACAGAAAGACUUAGGAGAAGUCGACAGAAACGACGAUCAGAAGAGGGAUAUAGUUUACCUACCUCAAGGUCUUCGAUUAGCAACGAUCGGUGAAGCAAACGGGCAAGGAUUCGCGAAGAUCAACUUCCUCCUCUUCUCCUCUCUUGGCCGCGGUUUUGGGGAAAGAAAAUGGGUGAGUUUUGCAAAAUUUUCAUUUUCUAGCUUAUAACCUAUAUAUAGUGAAGGAAAUGGAGAUAUUUUGCAAAGUUUGGAUAAGGAUGCAUUGGUAUUUAUCAAGGAUUGGAUAAGGAUGGAUAGAUAUUUUUGAAAGACUGGAUAAGAACGAAUAGAUAUUUUAGGGAGAUAUUUUGAGAAGAUAUUUUGUAAACCGGUACAGAUUAGUUUAGAUACCGGAGGAUUUAACUCAUAGAGUUAAAAUAAAAAUAUAAGAGUGAUUCCUAUUUUUCCGGCUUCGUUCUCCGUGAAUUCUAAGAUAGGUUUUGACGACAGAAAUCCAAAACUCAACAGAAGUUUCCUUCUAUUUUAGGUGACUAAUGCAAAAUCGGUGUAAAACCUUUUUACCCGAUAAGUUACUUUUUGCAGUGGAUGUCGGAUGAGAAAACUUCCUUCUGAAGAAAGAUUAGAAACAACGAGAGAAGUAGGCGAUCACGGGUGGAAUCUUCAUUUGAAGCUCCGAAUAGAAAAAAUCUUCAUCGUCCGUCGAUUUUAGGGUUUUUCAACUAUCAGGGAUUCCGUUUCGGCAAACUUCCGAGAAUUGGAAUUUGACGUUCGUACGUUCCAGGGUUUCGCGUCGAAAUACUUGUUUAUAGACGAAUAAGAGAAAUUCUAAUAUUUCUCUGAGGUUUUUUUGGAAUUAGUUUCCAUCGUGUCCUAAAGUAUAAAUUAACUAUUCACUAUGGUCUUCGACCUAAGAUUAGGCGAACGUUAGUCGUGCUAUAACUUCUAUCGGUUUUGAUAUAAUCCUUGGACUUUUCCUGAACCUUCUCUUUCAUAAAUUUAUUUCAUCCAAUAAACUCUUGUAUUUUAUUCCCUUAUCCAAAAUUUAAAAACUUGGGUCUUACAUUACUACCCUCCAAAAAGAAAGUUUCGACCUCGAAACUUAUGGUUCAGUAAAAAUUCCGGAUACUGUCCCUCGAUCUGUUCCUUAAGCUCCCAUGUAGCAUCGCCUAUGUCCUUGUUCCAAAUGAUUGUCACCAUUGCUAAUUGGCGGCGCUUUUCGAAAGACAGUUCAUCUUUCAGCUCUAUGUCACCCGGCUCGACCCCUCGUGUCGGGUCUAUGUUGGAAAUAGUAUUGGUUGGCACUCUGUGCAAUCGCACAGCCUUAACCACUUGCUCAUUUACUUUCGUUCGUCCGAUAUUCUGCUUAAACCCAGUACACCUCCGCCAUUCCAGAGUGGAUGUUCAACCUGUCCUCGUGAUCUUUACUCAUGAUUCGAAACUUAACUCGAUCGCUCUAUAUCUCAUAGACGAACUUAUUCCCUUGGAGUCUACCAAUCUCUUAACGUCAGUUCCAACUUCGUAACUAUCCUCAUUCGCACCAUGAAAUCAAUCUUCUACUUAUUCAUCAUUCAAAUUAAAACUCGACUUGAGUCUUAAUACCUUGUGCAUCGCUAGACCCAAUCCCUUUUAACAUCCAUUCAUCAGCAACUUAUAAGCUAAUCACCAUCUUAAUAUCUUACAAUCCAUUAUUGUCAUCUCCCCUUUUUCGAGACUUCCCUUACUUGAACCAUAAAACCAACCUUCACUUAUUCACAAACCACUUUACACUUACCUAAAAUCCUUAACACUUCCCCCAAAUCCGAACUUAUUCCCUAGAAGAUCAAAUCAUAAUUGUACCUCAGGAAACUUAACUAGUCAUUUUAUCAUCCUAUCUCUCAACAUUCUGAGGUUUAACUACAAUCGUUAAUGCUAACACCACUAAAUAUCUUAUUUGUACAUGAUUUUCACCUCCCAAGGUCAAUCUUAACCCUAAGAUCCUCAUUCAACUUAGUAAAAAUCACUUGCUAACCCCAGCAUGUAACAUCGGAAUCCAUAACCAAGUUCCAUUCACUCUUAGACUCUAAGAAAUUUGUCCACAUAUAACAACCUCAAGUAUUCAUCUUCAUACUAACUCAUUAUUUUCGUAACUAGAUCGUCCUCCAAUUAAUCUGAUUCUUAGUCUCUUGAUCAAAACCUGACAAACCUUGAGUCCUACGCACUUAAGACAAGAAUUCAUAGACUUAGAACCUAAACUUUCACCAAGUUUGGACCUCCAAUGUCUUUUAAUUCUUCAAUACUUCUUAAAUGAAUAUCCAUUUCUUAAAAUUAUAACUCCUUCCCCAAAGAAAUCGAUUACUUAACAAGAACUUUACUUCCCAACUCAACUAAUCCUCGAUCCAAUCAAAUUAAUCUUACCAAUCCAUCUAUCAAAGUCCAUUGCCAGUUCUGAUUCCGAAUAUCACCCCCUCAAUAUUCAGUUGAUCAGGCCUAAUUCAUCGAAGGUGAAGAUUUAGAAAAACCCACUGGAACAGUCAAUGAGUUCCUAUCAUCCAGUAGUCACAAAGAUCUUGAUAUUAAAUCCCCAAUGAUGCCGCUACGAAACUACACACUCUCGACAUCAUACGUAUACUAUCCAUACGGAAUCUCUCUGAGGUUCAUCCUUCAGCUUCUAGCUUCUUGUUAAACGCAUCGGUGCAAGACUACUUUCUAGGCUUAACGUGUUAUUCUAAACCUCGUGUAACUUCUAUAGUUUAAACACGAGCAACGGUCAAAUAAAGUAUUAUUAGGCGUAAUAACUAUAAAGUCAAAGCUCGACAGUAAGGGCAAGUUAGGUGUGUUGCACGUUCUACGAGAGUAAUGAAGCGUAUUAUACUAGAAUGAGAAAGAAUAGUUAGAAGGUUACCAUCGUUUGUGCGCUCUCCUCUGACUAGUCGACCAGCUCCCUCGCCGCACGAGACAUAGACUCCUCCCCGUGCAGCAGGAUGUCUUCCUCUUACCGUAGGCACAGAUGGCUCAACCCUGGUUACAUUGCAAUCCUUGGCUUGAUGCCCCGGGCGAUUGCAGUUGAAACAUAGAGGUCUCCCGUCUGGACACUUGUUAGAGUGGUGCCCCACCUUCUUGCACCUGUAACACGUUACUUGCUUCCUCGCCCCUUUAGAUAUGGCAGGAAGUUUACCCUUCAUCUUGUUGUCAGACGGUCCUGCUUGGAACGUCCUACAGUUUACGGCCAAAUGUCCACGUUGUUUGCACUUGCAGCAUUUUGGUCCAGUCAUUGGGCACUGAAAGGCGUAGUGUCCACGUUUUCUACAACGGUAGCAUGUCACAGCCUCCUGGCCAUUGGUUGUGGUCGUUGACUUGCGUGAUCCUUGGGUAGGGUCUCUUCCCUCGGGAUGCUGGUAUGGCUUCCACUGUCGGUGCUCCUGUGGAUCUGACCUCACUGGUCCUCCAGUUCCAGCUCGGUCCAAUCUACUUUGCUGGUAUUUGGACGCCUCGAUUAGCGGUUGAGGUUGUUCACGUGCAGCCUCCUUAGCGUGUCUGUAAGCGUCUUCAGCAGCCUGAUUCAUCAUUGCCUCAAUCAUGGUAGCUAUUGCCUUUGCCAUCCUGUCAGGGUUUACCAUCCUAUGCUUAGUCAAACAAACAGUUAGUACUCAUCAUAAGAUAGUCUCUGGCACUACUAUACAAUAUGAUUAAGCAAUAACUUCAAUCAAUUCUAAGCGAACAAAUCGCUUGGCAGACAAUCAAUUUUUACUCUUUACAGAGUCACACAACCUAGCACAGAAGACCUAUUCCCCAAAGACUCCCGAAAGACUCGACAAGCUCUGAUACCACAAUUGUAACACCCCGAUUUCGGUGGUGUCACUUUAGUAACUAAAAGAAAAUACUUUAUGCGGAAAAACGUGAAUAUAUUUUUUUUUUCUCGAUAAUACAAAAUUAAAGACUGAAGGUAAAUAGAACUUGUCGACAGAAGGUAAAAGAGAACUAAUAUACAUCUACGUAUAUUUACAUGCCUCGCUGUAAGUAGUCAACCACGUCACGAGUAACCCUCCAGUGACGGGUGGCAGAAGAGAGUAACGCCCGAAGGCAAUAUGUACAUUUCAAGAUAAAGGGUUCUGUGUCUGCAACACAAACCUUCAAAAACUGAGAGUAAGUUGGCCCAGAUGGCCUAAGCCAAGACCUCCUAAGUCCAACCAGCUCUCUGUGAUUUCCGUAAAGAGAACCCCAAGAAAAGCUAAAGGUCGGGGACCUACCCUGCCCAAAACGAAAGACUGAACAUCAGAGCCAAGACGCUACUCCUACACUAAUCCCAACUAUGCAUCCCCAAGAUCGUCGUCUGAAUCUAAAUCCAAGACGACUAUGUCGAUGACUGCAUCGGUCUCCACAGUUGGUCGAGCGGGUUCUGCACCCGAUCCCAAGUCUAUAGCAGCCGCGACAGUGGGUGAACUAGUGCCUGAAGAAGUCCCUCCCACAGGCACCUCCUCCGAGGGGUACUCGUCGUCCGAAGGCGACGGUGGUGGUGGCACUCCCAGUCCAGGUCCGCAGUGUACACCCGGUGGCAAGUUGAAGCUGAUAGUGUAGUGCCUCCAGACUCCGUGCGUCAGGCUUGGCAUCCGGUCAAUGCGAUCCUCCAUUAUUCGCCCUGAAUAGAUAGCUCGGUGGCCGGCGGGGUCGACCACCCAUGAGCUUGGGGUGUCUUGGUCCAACAUCUCAAACCUGG